rnacentral:rRNA from 1 species
GCUUGUCUCAAAGAUUAAGCCAUGCACGUCUGAGAAUAAAGAGUUUUCUCUGAAUCUGCGAAUGGCUCAUUAUAUCAGUUAUAGUUUAUUUGAUAGUCCUUUACUACUUGGAUAACCGUAGUAAUUCUAGAGCUAAUACAUGCAUCAAUCCUCUAUUUGAGGUGUAUUUAUUAGAUUGUAACCAAAGCGGGGUAACCCGGUAUAUGGUGAUUCAUAAUAACUUUCGGAUCGAUUUUAAUCGAUGCAUCAUUCAAGUUUCUGCCCUAUCAGCUUUGGAUGGUAGGGUAUUGGCCUACCAUGGCUUUAACGGGUAACGGAGAAUUAGGGUUCGAUUCCGGAGAGGGAGCCUGAGAAAUGGCUACCACAUCCAAGGAAGGCAGCAGG